rnacentral:rRNA from 1 species
AGCGAACGCUGGCGGCAGGCCUAAUACAUGCAAGUCGAGCGGGUCCUUCGGGAUUAGCGGCGGACGGGUGAGUAACGCGUGGGAACGUGCCCUUUGGUACGGAACAACUGAGGGAAACUUCAGCUAAUACCGUAUGUGCCCUUCGGGGAAAGAUUUAUCGCCAUUGGAGCGGCCCGCGUUGGAUUAGGUAGUUGGUGAGGUAAAGGCUCACCAAGCCUACGAUCCAUAGCUGGUCUGAGAGGAUGACCAGCCACACUGGGACUGAGACACGGCCCAGACUCCUACGGGAGGCAGCAGUAGGGAAUCUUGCGCAAUGGGCGAAAGCCUGACGCAGCCAUGCCGCGUGAAUGAUGAAGGUCUUAGGAUUGUAAAAUUACUUUCACCGGGGACGAUAAUGACGGUACCCGGAGAAGAAGACCCCGGCUAACUUCGUGCCAGCAGCCGCGGUAAU